UGAGCAAUCUGCCCUUCUCUUUGGAAUAAGCGUUGGAAACGACGUCUAAUGCCGAAUACGACCUCCUUUCGCAUGAUCGGAGGUGGAAAGCUCCGGCGGAGAAGGAUGAGCUCGCGGCCUAUCAGCUAGCUGGUGUGGGUAGUGGCCCACCAAGGCGACGACGGGUAGCCGGCCUGAGAGGGUGACCGGCCACACUGGGACUGAGACACGGCCCAGACUCCUACGGGAGCAG
rnacentral:rRNA from 1 species